UGGCCCCUCUGUCAGCUCUCACCUGCAACAGCUCAGCCGCCACCUCUGCGUGGCCAUGAAACGUCGUCGAGUGCAGCGGCAUUCACCCCCACCGAUUCCUGGCGUUUGGGUCGGCCGAGGCCCCCAGCGGAAGCUGCAGCUCAGCCGUGUGAACACUCCCUGCAGCCACGUGCAGAGGUGUGUUGCGCCAGCUAAUCCUGGUGCCCAUCUCUGCGCUACCCCCAAUGUCCCUCCCACACUUCUCAGUACAGGGCGGUCCAGCUGUCCCCGUCCCUCAUCCCCAUGUCUGCCCCUGUUGUCAACAAAGCGCAUAGCUGCUCUUCCGCCCUGUCCUCGGCCGCCUCUAUCAGCCUCCUCCGUCUC